UCAGAGGUCAAUCAUUGUGUCUCUCCUGUCU
rnacentral:piRNA from 1 species